rnacentral:rRNA from 1 species
CGGAGAAAGAACAACAGGCUUGCCCCAGUAACGGCGAGUGAAGCGGCAACAGCUCAAAUUUGAAAUCUGGCCCCUCGGGGUCCGAGUUGUAAUUUGUAGAGGAUGCUUUUGAUGAGGCGCCGCCUGAGUUCCCUGGAACGGGACGCCAUAGAGGGUGAGAGCCCCGUCUGGCUGGCCGCCGAGUCUCUGUAAAGCUCCUUCGACGAGUCGAGUAGUUUGGGAAUGCUGCUCAAAAUGGGAGGUAUAUGUCUUCUAAAGCUAAAUACCGGCCAGAGACCGAUAGCGCACAAGUAGAGUGAUCGAAAGAUGAAAAGCACUUUGAAAAGAGGGUUAAAUAGUACGUGAAAUUGUUGAAAGGGAAGCACUUGUGACCAGACUUGGGCUUGGCGAAUCAUCCGGCGUUCUCGCCGGUGCACUUUGCCUCGUCCAGGCCAGCAUCAGUUCGCCGCGGGGGAUAAAGGCUUCGGGAACGUGGCUCCUCCGGGAGUGUUAUAGCCCGUUGCGUAAUACCCUGCAGUGGACUGAGGUUCGCGCAUCUGCAAGGAUGCUGGCGUAAUGGUCAUCAGUGACCCGUCUUGAAACACGGACCAAGGAGUCGUCUUCGUAUGCGAGUGUUCGGGUGUCAAACCCCUACGCGUAAUGAAAGUGAACGCAGGUGAGAGCUUCGGCGCAUCAUCGACCGAUCCUGAUGUUCUCGGAUGGAUUUGAGUAAGAGCAUACGGGGCCGGACCCGAAAGAAGGUGAACUAUGCCUGUAUAGGGUGAAGCCAGAGGAAACUCUGGUGGAGGCUCGCAGCGGUUCUGACGUGCAAAUCGAUCGUCAAAUAUGGGCAUGGGGGCGAAAGACUAAUCGAACCUUCUAGUAGCUGGUUUCCGCCGAAGUUUCCCUCAGGAUAGCAGUGUUGAUCUCAGUUUUAUGAGGUAAAGCGAAUGAUUAGGGACCCGGGGGCGCUAUUUAGCCUUCAUCCAUUCUCAAACUUUAAAUAUGUAAGAAGCCCUUGUUGCUUAAUUGA